GGAGGCAUGGUGCAGUGGUUUGAAUGUUGGACUAAAACUCUGAAGAACAGUGUUCAAAUCCCUGCUUGGCCA